UAGUAAAAAAUGGGUCACUGCAAUGAUAAAACAACUUCUUGUUAUUAAUGCCGAAAGCCAAGCCACUUCACCAGCCAGUUGCUCCGCGGGUACAACUUUUAGUUUCCGCAGAGUAUGAAUUGUGAAACCCAACCCUGAACCAGAAUAUCCCGGUGCUUCCAUUGGAAUCCCGAAAAUAUCAAUGCCAAAAGAAGCUGCAUCUAUUCCAGUCGGUGAUUGACAAAUUAAUGUUACAUGUUAAUGCUUAUGGAACGCGAAAAGAAAACCAAUAAAAAGUGUUCGUGUGUGAAAA